rnacentral:rRNA from 1 species
AACGAACGCUGGCGGCAUGCCUAACACAUGCAAGUCGAACGAAGGCUUCGGCCUUAGUGGCGCACGGGUGCGUAACGCGUGGGAAUCUGCCCUUUGGUUCGGAAUAACAGCUGGAAACGGCUGCUAAUACCGGAUGAUGACGAAAGUCCAAAGAUUUAUCGCCAGAGGAUGAGCCCGCGUUGGAUUAGGUAGUUGGUGGGGUAAAGGCCUACCAAGCCGACGAUCCAUAGCUGGUCUGAGAGGAUGAUCAGCCACACUGGGACUGAGACACUGCCCAGACUCCUACGGGAGGCAGCAGUGGGGAAUAUUGGACAAUGGGCGCAAGCCUGACCCAGCAAUGCCGCGUGAGUGAUGAAGGCCCUAGGGUUGUAAAGCUCUUUUACCCGGGAAGAUAAUGACUGUACCGGGAGAAUAAGCCCCGGCUAACUCCGUG